UUUUUAUUUAUUUUUGUUUCAAAUAUAUUCUCGACUCAGUUUUUAUUUCAGAGAGCAGAAAAUUUAGGUAAUAUUAUCAGACGAAUUUUUGUUUUUUUUUUUUAUGAUUUGGAGAAUAGAAGAACAAAAAAUAGACCCAAACAAACCUUUGACACCAAUCCGAGACCUAAUUCUGCAGGUUCUGCGAGGAUUCAUUGCUGAUUUUGGGGUUUGAAACUGAAUCAAAUUCCUUGCGAUAAAGAAGAAACUUUGCAAACUUUUAUUAAUCAAAUUAGGUCUGUUUUUUUACAAAGACUCGAUGAACUUUUAUAGCACAACAAAAGAAGAGCAAGAGACUAGACUCAAACCUAGAAUCUAAUAGACAUUUAUGUACAUAAAAACUAGAAACAUUUAGAAAACUAGGCAUUAUUAAUUUUACAAUAUUUUCAAUGCUUGUGGCCAUCCCAAAAUGUCUUAAUGCAAGUUUCGACACAUCAGAAUUGACGAAGUCUUCAAACAAAGUCAAAGAUAAAGCCCUAUCGAUGAGCAACUUUUCAAUGAGUGUGUCAUCCAUCUUGAAUAAUCUUCUUGAUUGAACUAGUUCGUCUAGAAUAUGGGCUACAUCAAAUU